CCUACGGGUGGCAUCAUUUUUUUCUAUUUCCCACUUUUUUAAACCCUUAUUCAGCGACGCCGCGUGUGGGAAGACGGUCCUCUGGAUUGUACACCACUGUCCCCAGGGACGGAGAUGACGGUACCUGGGGAGGAAGCUCCGGCUAACUACGUGCCAGCAGCCGCGGUAAUAAGUAGGGAGCGAGCGUUGUCCGGAAUUACUGGGUGUAAAGGGAGCGUAGGCGGGACUGCAAGUUGGGUGUCAAAUCUACCGGCUCAACCGGUAGCUGCGUUCAAACCUUCUGGUCUGGAGUGAAGUAGAGGCAGGAGGAAUUGCUAUGGUAGCGGGGAAAGGCGUAGAUAGUAGGAGGAACACCAGUGGCGAAGGCGGCCGGCGGGGCUUUAACUGACGCUGAGGCUCGAAAGCGGGGGGAGCAAACAGGAUUAGAUACCCCAGUAGUC
rnacentral:rRNA from 1 species